CUCAAAGUUGAUUACACCGCACACUCCAAAAUGGAGCUGCACUUUUCCCCUUUAGUGGUGGCAAAGUUGUGGUGGUGGCAGACAACUUUCCUCAAAGUUGUGGUGGUGGAGCCUCCAUGUUUUUGGCUAACAUCUUUCACAUUCAAAUCUUUGGCGAAAUCAAUCUAUUUAAACCUCAAUUCCUCAACCCCAACUCACCUCUUCAUCUGUUCAUUUAACAAAAAUCUGCAGAUUCUCCCUACGAAUCCCAGCUGGUGCGGCGCGACUAGGAUGUGAACUUUAAAUUCUUGCAGUUAAUUUUCAAAGCUCAAAAGUUCAAGUUUCAGUUUCAGGUGAAUGAUAUUGGAGGCGCGUGGAGAGUCGAAUGGGCGCGUCGCAUCUAUUUAAAAAUAAAUGUUUCUUAAAACAUAUUAUGUUAUUUCAUGUGAUAUCUUUUGGUUAUGUAAACUCUGAAAUUCUAUACUAUUUGAGAUUUGUGUGUGAUUUGUCUAAAUAAAUGUUGUUAUAUUAUUUUAAUGUCAUGACUUGUUUAAUUUAUAUUUAAAUUCAUUUCAAAUAUUUAUUUAAGAA